AUUGGCAGAAUCAAGUGGAACCCUGGUACAUCCAUCUACUGUUCCGAGAAGUCUGGUCAGAAGUGGAUUUAUACCUCUGACAUUGACACAAGGCCAAGUGACUCAACUAUUCAUGAAAACAUACCAACUAGGGAUGGAAAAUGUCAGCAGGUGCCCUGGACUGAUGAGUCUAAAUUUGAAAUAUUUAGCUGUAGCAGAAGGCAGUUUGUUUGCUGAAGGGCUGGAGAGUUGUAGAUGGGUGAGUGUCUGCAGGCAAAAGUGAAGUUUGGUGGAGUCUCCUUGCAAGUUUGGGGUAGUACUUCUGCAAAUGGAGUUAGGAUUUAGUCAGAAUUAAUGGUCUACUUAAUGCUGAGAACUUCAGGCAGAAACCAUUAUGGAGGCAUCUGACUAGCCCCAACUUUUUUUCUGUAUUAUGACUAUGACCUCAAGCAUUCGUCCAACAUCAUUAUAUCUUUACUGAAAU